rnacentral:rRNA from 1 species
UACGUAGGGUGCGAGCCGUUAAUCGGAAUUACUGGGCGUAAAGCGUGCGCAGGCGGUUCUCCAAGUCCGUUGUGAAAGCCCCGGGCUCAACCUGGGAAUGGCAGUGGAACUAGGGGACUGGAAUCUAGGCAGAGGGGGUGGAAUGCCGCGUGUAGCAGUGAAAUGCGUAGAGAUGCGGGCGGAACACCGAUGGCGAAGGCAGCCCCCUGGGCUGAGAUUGACGCUCAGGCACGAAAGCGUGGGAGCAAACAGGG